rnacentral:rRNA from 1 species
CCUACGGGAGGCUGCAGUAGGGAAUCUUUCACAAUGGGCGAAAGCCUGAUGGAGCAACGCCGCGUGCAGGUUGAAGGCCUUCGGGUUGUAAACUGCUUUUAUAAGCGAGAUAUAUGAUGGUAACUUAUGAAUAAGGAUCGGCUAACUACGUGCCAGCAGCCGCGGUCAUACGUAGGCUCCGAGCAUUAUCCGGACUUACUGGGUGUAAAGGGAGCGUAGACGGCAGUGCAAGUCUGGAGUGAAAGGCGGGGGCUCAACCCCCGGACUGCUCUGGAAACUGUACAGCUGGAGUGCAGGAGAGGUAAGUGGAAUUCCUAGUGUAGCGGUGAAAUGCGUAGAUAUUAGGAGGAACACCAGUGGCGAAGGCGGUCUGCUGGACAGCAACUGACGCUGAGGCGCGAAAGCGUGGGGAGCAAACAGGAUGAGAUACCCCAGUAGUC